AGCCCUUGACAUGUGGCUCGCCGGUCCCGGAGACGGGACCUUCGGUUCGGCCGGAGCCAACACAGGUGCUGCAUGGCUGUCGUCAGCUCGUGUCGUGAGAUGUUGGGUUAAGUCCCGCAACGAGCGCAACCCUCGUCUCCAGUUGCCAUCAGGUAAAGCUGGGCACUUUGGAGAAACUGCCGGUGACAAGCCGGAGGAAGGUGGGGAUGACGUCAAGUCCUCAUGGCCCUUACGGGCUGGG
rnacentral:rRNA from 1 species